rnacentral:rRNA from 1 species
UACGAAGGGUGCAAGCGUUACUCGGAAUCACUGGGCGUAAAGGGUGCGUAGGCGGGUUUUUAAGUCAGGGGUGAAAUCCUGGAGCUCAACUCCAGAACUGCCUUUGAUACUGAAGAUCUUGAGUUCGGGAGAGGUGAGUGGAACUGCGAGUGUAGAGGUGAAAUUCGUAGAUAUUCGCAAGAACACCAGUGGCGAAGGCGGCUCACUGGCCCGAUACUGACGCUGAGGCACGAAAGCGUGGGGAGCAAACAGG